CCUCAGUGACUAUGAGUCCCUCUGGUGAAAUAGAGGAGGGCAGUUCAGUGACUCUGAGCUGCAGCAGUGAUGCCAACCCAGCAGCUAACUACACCUGGUUCAAGGAACAUGAAGACUCAGUGAGAGAAUCAGGACAGAACUACACUAUCACUAAUAUCACAUCUGAGCAUGGAGGAAACUAUUACUGCCAAGCUCAUAAUGCAAUCGGACUUACUUAUUCCACCUUUUUGUUUAUUAAAGUGAUAUCAUCAUCGCUUAUAGCAAUGGUAGCUGUAACAACCAUUAGUGUCUUUGUGGUCACCAUACUCCUCAUCGUCUUCCUCUUGAUGAGAAGAAAGAGGGCCUCCAGAAAAGCAUGUGGACAGGGAGGAAGGCCAGAUACCGUGGAGGAG